rnacentral:rRNA from 1 species
AGAGUUUGAUCCUGGCUCAGAACGAACGCUGGCGGCGUGCUUAACACAUGCAAGUCGAGUGCGCGUCCGUAGCAAUACGGAUGGCGCACGGCGCACGGGUGCGUAACACGUGGGCAAUCUGCCCUUCGAUGGGGAAUAACUCCGGGAAACCGAAGCUAAUUCCGCAUAACAUUCCUUGGACCUCGGUUCGAGGACUCAAAGCCGUAAGGCGUCGAAGGAGGAGCCCGCGCCCGAUUAGCUAGUUGGUGAGGUAACGGCUCACCAAGGCAAUGAUCGGUAGCUGGUCUGAGAGGAUGGCCAGCCACACUGGAACUGAGACACGGUCCAGACUCCUACGGGAGGCAGCAGUGGGGAAUCUUGCGCAAUGGGCGAAAGCCUGACGCAGCGACGCCGCGUGGGGGAUGAAGCAUCUCGGUGUGUAAACCCCUUUCGACUGGGACGAAUGCCUCGCAAGAGGAGUGACGGUACCAGUAGAAGAAGCCCCGGCUAACUACGUGCCAGCAGCCGCGGUAAGACGUAGGGGGCCAGCGUUGUUCGGAAUUACUGGGUGUAAAGGGUUCGUAGGCGGUGUGGCAAGUCGGGAGUGAAAUCUAUGGGCUUAACCCAUAGGCUGCUUCCGAAACUGCCGUGCUUGAGUGUGGGAGAGGCGCGUGGAAUUGCAGGUGUAGCGGUGAAAUGCGUAGAUAUCUGCAGGAACACCCGUGGCGAAAGCGGCGCGCUGGACCACUACUGACGCUGAGGAACGAAAGCUAGGGGAGCAAACAGGAUUAGAUACCCUAGUAGUCC